GUGGUUGUGGCUCAGAGGUAGAGUGUUUGCCUACCAUGCAUAAGGCACUGGGUUCGAUCCUCAGCACCACA
rnacentral:tRNA from 1 species